rnacentral:rRNA from 1 species
UACGUAGGGGGCAAGCGUUGUCCGGAAUUAUUGGGCGUAAAGCGCGCGCAGGCGGUUUUUUAAGUCUGGUGUAUAAGUGCGGGGCUCAACCCCGUGAGGCACUGGAAACUGGGAGACUUGAGUGCAGAAGAGGAGAGCGGAAUUCCACGUGUAGCGGUGAAAUGCGUAGAGAUGUGGAGGAACACCAGUGGCGAAGGCGGCUCUCUGGACUGUAACUGACGCUGAGGCGCGAAAGCGUGGGGAGCGAACAGG